GCUCAGGACGAACGCUGGCGGCGUGCUUAACACAUGCAAGUCGUGGGAGUCUCGCAAGAGGCGACCGGCGAACGGGUGCGUAACACGUGAGUGACCUACCGAUUCGAGGGGGAUAGCCGGCCAAACGGCCGGGUAAUACCGCAUACGGGACCGGAUCUGCAUGGCCUGUUUGGGAACCAUCCGGGGCGGAUCGAGGGGCUCGCGGCCUAUCAGCUAGUUGGCGGGGUAACGGCCAACCAAGGCUACCAGGAUUAGCUGGUCUGAGAGGAUGGCCAGGGACCUUGGGACUGAGAACCGGCCAAGACUCCUACGGGAGGCAGCAGUGGGGAAUAUUGCGCAAUGGCCGCAAGGCUGACGCAGCGACGCCGCGUGUGGGAUGAAGCCAUUCGGGGUGUAACCAACUGUUGCCAGGGACGAACGAGAGGCUUUCGCCUCUGUGACGGUACCGGGUGAGGAAGCACCGGCUAACUCCGUGCCAGCAGCCGCGGUAAUACGGAGGGUGCGAGUGUUGUCCGGAAUCACUGGGCGUAAAGGGCGCGUAGGCGGCUUGGUAAGGGGGCGGUGAACGCCAGGGGCUCAACCACGGGUCUGCCGGACCGACUGCCGAGUUUGAGUACACUAGGGGCAGGUGGAAUUCCGGGUGUAGCGGUGGAAUGCGUAGAGAUCCGGAAGAACACCGGUGGCGAAGGCGGCCUGCCGGGGUGUGGCUGACGCUGAUGCGCGACAGCGUGGGGAGUAACCAGGAUUAGAUACCAUGGUAGUCCACGCCGUAACCGAUGGGCACUAGGUGCUCGG
rnacentral:rRNA from 1 species